UACGUAGGGGGCAAGCGUUGUCCGGAAUCAUUGGGCGUAAAGCGCGCGUAGGCGGCCCGGUAAGUCCGUUGUGAAAGUCAAAGGCUCAACCUUUGAACGCCGAUGGAUACUGCCGGGCUAGAGUCCGGAAGAGGCGAGUGGAAUUCCUGGUGUAGCGGUGGAAUGCGCAGAUAUCAGGAGGAACACCGAUGGCGAAGGCAGGGUCACUGGGCCGCAACUGACGCUGAGGAGCGAAAGCAUGGGGAGCGAACAGG
rnacentral:rRNA from 1 species